CAGUUAUUGGUAACACGAACAAACACUGAUGCAUGGAUAACUCUUUACCCAGGUGCUUCUUUAAGCAUAUUGUAGCUAUUUGAUCUCUAAGUCAUGUGGGCUCACCUAACAGUUAUUGCCCAUAUUUUUUAGUUAAGUCAGACCCACCAUUCACAAGCAGGUGCAAAGCCAUCAUUGGAUCUCUCACCUAAUAGUUAUUGGACCCAACCUCAUUUUUAUCCUGGAAUAACUCUUUGCUAAUAGAGUGGUUGCGUAUUUUCGAUACAACUGAACCACUGUGAUCAGUCGAGAACAAUCAAUAUCGAUAGUACGUCCGUACAUCUACAACGAUGGAAGACUAUUGGACUUAAUAUUUAUGAAGAGAUUUUAGAUUAAGAUCUCAUCUAAUCAGUCAUCAUAUGACUGAUCUAAUUGACAUGGGCUAAAUCAAAUCGCCAAGCAACCAUAUUUGAGCCUCAAUCUUUUAAAUUGGCCAGAUAAGUGAAGAUUGGUAGGAGUCCUCCUAUUGCUUUCUUUAGACAUCAAUAAAUUGGUCA
rnacentral:lncRNA from 1 species